rnacentral:rRNA from 1 species
GACGAACGCUGGCGGCGUGCCUAAUACAUGCAAGUAGAACGCACAGUUUAUACCGUAGCUUGCUACACCAUAGACUGUGAGUUGCGAACGGGUGAGUAACGCGUAGGUAACCUGCCUGGUAGCGGGGGAUAACUAUUGGAAACGAUAGCUAAUACCGCAUAAUAUUAAUUAUUGCAUGAUAAUUAAUUGAAAGGUGCAAUUGCACCACUACCAGAUGGACCUGCGUUGUAUUAGCUAGUAGGUGAGGUAACGGCUCACCUAGGCGACGAUACAUAGCCGACCUGAGAGGGUGAUCGGCCACACUGGGACUGAGAAACGGCCCAGACUCCUACGGGAGGCAGCAGUAGGGAAUCUUCGGCAAUGGACGAAAGUCUGACCGAGCAACGCCGCGUGAGUGAAGAAGGUUUUCGGAUCGUAAAGCUCUGUUGUAAGAGAAGAACGGGUGUGAGAGUGGAAAGUUCACACUGUGACGGUAUCUUACCAGAAAGGGACGGCUAACUACGUG